CAAACGCGAAAUGUGUUAUGACAUGCAGUCUUUGUGAAUCAUUUACUCUUUGAACGCACCUUGUGCCCAUUGCCAUUGCGCAGUGGGUAUACUUGUUUGAGUAUCGCUAACGAAAAAAGUCGCUCCUUGGAGUGGACGUGCGUUUCACACACUCGUGUGUGAUCUGUGAAAUGGAUAAGCGGGCGUGCAGGAAACCCACGCAUACGCACUCUUGGGAUAAAUCCAAUCAAGGGUGUGCGUGGGAGGGAAUGCACGACCAGCAAAAGAGGGGCGAUCAGCGAACGUCAUUGACGCACUCACUGCUCGCUCCUCGCACCACACGCUGAUCUCAAAUCAAGUAAGAGGACCCGCUGAACUUAA
rnacentral:misc_RNA from 1 species